rnacentral:rRNA from 1 species
CGCAGUGACAGGUGGUGCAUGGCUGUCGUCAGCUCGUGUCGUGAGAUGUUGGGUUAAGUCCCGCAACGAGCGCAACCCACGUCGUUAGUUGCCAGCAUUCAGUUGGGCACUCUAGCGAGACCGCCGGUGAUAAACCGGAGGAAGGUGUGGAUGACGUCAAGUCAUCAUGCCCCUUACAUCCUGGGCUACACACGUACUACAAUGCUACGGACAAAGGGCCGCAAGCUCGCGAGAGUUAGCAAAUCCCAUAAACCGUGGCUCAGUUCAGAUCGUAGGCUGCAACUCGCCUACGUGAAGGAGGAAUCGCUAGUAAUCGCAGGUCAGCAUACUGCGGUGAAUACGUUCCCGGGCCUUGUACACACCGCCCGUCACACCAUGAAGUGGCC